GACGAACGCUGGCGGCGUGCUUAACACAUGCAAGUCGAACGGAAAGGCCCCUUUUGGGGUACUCGCGUGGCGAACGGGUGAGUAACACGUGAGUAACCUGCCCUUGACUUCGGGAUAACUUCAUGCAACUGGGGCUAAUACCGGAUAGGAAUCCUUGCUGCAUGGUGGGGGUUGGAAAGCUUCGGCGGUUUUGUAUGGACUCGCGGCUAAUAAGUUUGUUGGUGGGGUAGUGGCUUACCAAGGCUUUCAGGGGUAGCCGGCCUGCGGGGGCGACCGGCCAAAUGGGGCUGGGGAACGGGCCAGAAUCCCAAGGGAGGCAGGAGGGGGGGAAUAUGGACAAUGGGGGGGAGGCUGAAGGAGGAAAGCCGCGGGGGGGGAGACGGGCUUCGGGGUGGAAACCGGCUUCAGCAGGUGCGGAGCUUGUGGUGACGGUACCUGGAGAAGAAGCACCGGCUAACUACGUG
rnacentral:rRNA from 1 species